rnacentral:rRNA from 1 species
UACGAAGGGUGCAAACGUUGCUCGGAAUCAUUGGGCGUAAAGCGCACGUAGGCGGCUUAGCAAGUCGGAUGUGAAAUCCCUCGGCUCAACCAAGGAAGUGCAUCCGAAACUGCUGAGCUUGAGUACUUAAGAGGAUCGCGGAAUUCCCGGUGUAGAGGUGAAAUUCGUAGAUAUCGGGAGGAACACCAGUGGCGAAGGCGGCGAUCUGGGCCGUAACUGACGCUGAGGAGCGAAAAGCAUGGGGAGCGAACAGG